rnacentral:lncRNA from 1 species
UAUUAAAAAAAAUCAUGACAGCUGUGAUGGAAACAGGAAGCUUUAGUACAAUUUUAUAAAUGCAGACAGAUAAUUUGUUGUUUGACAAGGUGGGAUCUUUUUGUGUCAAUAAAAUGUAUUAUGCGAGAAAUGGUGGUGGAAAUGCCUUUAUGAUGGUCCAUUCCAAUAAAUAUUGAAGGUCUUAUUCUAGUGACAUGACGAUUGAUGGUUGACUGCCGUUUGACAAAUAAAAAUAUUCUCGCUCUAAUCCAUAAUAAUCUCAUCAUGUAGACUAACCUACCUGCACCACCUGCCUGCACCGUAUCUGCGAGCUGUUGACUGACUAGAGCACGGUGCAUUUGCUAUUUAACUCAACAGUUUUUAUAUUUUAGCCAUUUAGCUGACACUCUUAUCCAGAGUGACUUAUUGUAGUGAGUGCAGACAUUUUCAAACUUUUCUUCCAUACUGUUUUUUGUAACAGUUGAAAGUGCGAUGGGUUGAAAGUGCGAUGGAAACACAUUGAACUUUAUAGAUGUUUAUUCAGAACAUGAAAACUUAAGCGAAAAAGUACAUUUUGUGUGCACUACGUCAUCACACUGAUUUUUAUCUGCAACAAGUCAGUUUGGUGGAAACACACCACUGGUGGGGAAAUGUGCUUAUGUUCUUCAUGCAGAUUUUAGAAUAUUAGCAUAAAAAUCUGUUGCCAACUGGACGGAAACCUAGCUAUUGUUUAAGGUAGAUUUGUGGCAGUGCUUUUCUAACCAGGGGGGUGUAUGUGUUUCAGAGUAUGUGGGUUUUUAAUGAAAAUAGCUAGGCAGACAACGGUAUACAGUAUCUUUGACAAACAAAAGCAGACAAAGUCAUACUACAGGAGAUGUCAUCCCUUUUAGAGCAGGCCUACACAUAAUGGGUUUAACAGAGAGAGGGAGAGAGGACAAAUUAGUGCCAAGGAAGUGUAUUGGCGACAUCAGGGUUGUGUAAGAAUGCAAGUGAAGUACAGAAAACAUAAGUUGUUACACAAUUGGUGUGACUCAGGCAUGAUUUAAAAGGGAAAAGGAAAGGGGGAUACCUAGUCAGUUGCACAACUGAAAUGUGUCUUCUGCAUUUAACCCAACCCCUCUGAAUCAGAGAGGUGUAGGGGAGCUGCCUUAAUCGACAUCCACGUCUUCAGCGCCCGGGGAACAGUGGGUUAAUUGCCUUGCUCAGAGGCAGAACGACAGAUUUUUACGUUGUCAGCUCGGGGAUUCGAUCCAGCAACCUUUCAGUUACUGGCCCAACGCUCCUACCCGCCGGGCUACAAAAAGCCUGUGUACCACAUGUGCAGCACACGUGGAACCACUCAUCGCCACAUAUCACAGUGGUGUAGGCAUAAUUCUUUGCAUCCCAGGUGAACUGUAAAAAUUGACAACACUUUUUUUGUGUGUAUUUCCAUUCUGACAGACUACAUAAUGAUAACAACACCCAGUCAUCAAACUCAAUGAGAUAAUUUGUGUGUCAGUGUGUGUGUGCAUGUGCAUGUUUGUGUGCUCCUCUCCAGGUAGAGUGCUCCUCUAGGUAGAGUACUCCUCUCUAGGUAGAGUGCUCCUCUCUAGGUAGAGUGCUCCUCUAGGUAGAGUACUCCUCUCUAGGUAGAGUGCACCUCUCUAGGUAGAGUGCUCCGCUCUAGGUAGAGUGCUCCUCUCUAGGUAGAGUGCUCCUCUAGGUAGAGUACUCCUCUCUAGGUAGAGUGCUCCUCUCUAGGUAGAGUGCUCCUCUCUAGGUAGAGUGCUCCUCUCUAGGCAGAGUACUCCUCUCUAGGUAGAGUACUCUGCUCUAGGUAGAGUACUCCUCUCUAGGUAGAGUGCUCCUCUCUAGGUAGAGUGCUCCUCUCUAGGUAGAGUACUCCUCUCUAGGUAAAGUGCUCCUCUCUAGGUAGAGUCAUUUUCUCUAGGUAGAGUACUCCUCUCUAGGUAAAGUGCUCCUCUCUAGGUAGAGUGCUCCUCUUUAAGUAGAGUCAUUUUCUCUAGGUAGAGUGCUCCUCUCUAGGUAGAGUGCUCCUCUCUAGGUAGAGUACUCCGCUCUAGGUAGAGUGCUCCUCUCUAGGUAGAGUGCUCCUCUCUAGGUAGAGUACUCCUCUCUAGGUAGAGUGCUUUUUUCUAGGUAGAGUACUCCUCUCUAGGUAGAGUACUCCUCUCUAGGUAGAGUACUCCUCUCUAGGUAGAGUGCUCCUCUCUAGGUAGAGUACUCCUCUCUAGGUAGAGUGCUCCUCUCUAGGUAGAGUACUCCUCUCUAGGUAGAGUACUCCUCUCUAGGUAGAGUGCUCCUCUCUAAGUAGAGUACUCCUCUCUAGGUAGAGUACUCCUCUCUAGGUAGAGUGCUCCUCUCUAGGUGAAUGCUACUUCUUCCUCAUCAGGGUCCUACUUUUAGCCAGAGCUAUUUGUUUUUGCACUCUGUUACUAAGCAACAUCACAGACCCUUCUCACAGAAAGGCCGUUAUGAAAACAUGUGUACAGUGGAGGAAAGGGCAUACUUAGUCAGUUGCACAACUGAAUGCAUUCAACUGAAAUGUGUCUUCCUCAUUUAACCCAACUCAUCUGAAUCAGAGAGGUGCGGGGGGCUGCCUUAAUCGACGUCCACGUCAUCGGCACCCAAGGAACAGUUUUUGUUGAGGGUUAACUGCCUUGCUCAAUGGCAGAACGGCAGAUUUGUCCACCUUGCCGGCUCGGGGUGUGUGUGUGUAUGGGCGUGUGUGUGUCAGACCUGGGUUCAAAUGCUAUUUAGGAAUUUAAAUUACUUUCAAAGACAUUUGGAAGAAAGUGUUAGGAUAUACAGUGCAUUCGGAAAAUAUUCAGUCCCCUUGACUUUUUGUUACGUUACAGCCUUAUUCUAAAACGUAUUACAUUGUACCGCCAUAAUAACAAAGCAAAAACAAUUUAUCAAUUUUAACAAAUGUAUAAAAUAUUAAACUGAAAUAUCACAUUUGCAUAAGUAUUCAGACCCUUUACUUUGUUGAAGCACCUUUAGCAGUGAUUACAGCUUUGAGUCUUCUUGGGUUUGAUGCUACAAGCUUGGUACACCUGUAUUUGGGGAGUUUCUUCCAUUCUUCUCUGCAGAUCCUCUUAAGCUCUGUCAGGUUGGAUAGGGAGUGUCGCUGCACAGCUAUUUUCAGGUCUCUCCAGAGAUGUUCAAAUCGGGUUAAAUUCCGGGGUCUGGCUGGGCCACUCAAGGACAUUCAGAGACUUGUCCCGAAGCCACUCCUGCAUUGUCUUGGCUGUGUGCUUAGGGUCAUUGUUGUGUUGGAAGGUGAACCUUCACCCCAGGCUGAUGUCCUGAGUGCUCUGGAGCAGGUUUUCAUCAAGGAUCUCUGUACUUUGCUCCAUUCAUCUUUCCCUCAAUCCUGACUAGUCUCAGAGUCCCUGCCCCUGAAAAACAUCCCUACAGCAUGAUACUGCCACCACCAUGCUUCACCGUAGGGAUGGUGCCACAUUUUCUCCAGACGUGACACUUGGCAUUCAGGCCAAAAAGUUCAAUCUGGUUUCAUUAGACCAGAGAAUCUGGUUUCUCAUGGUCUGAGAGUCUUGAGGUGCCUUUUGGCAGACUCCAAGUGGGCUGUCAUGUGCCUUUUACUGAAGAGUGGCUUCUUUCUGUCCACUACCGUAAAGGCCUGAUUAGUGGAGUGCUGCAGAGAUGGUUGUCCUUCUGGAAGGUUCUCCCAUCUCCACAGAGGAAUUCUGGAGCUCUGUCAGACUGACCAUCGGGUUCUUGGUCACCUCCCUGACCAAGGCCCUUCUCCCCCGAUUGCUCAGUGUGGCCGGGCGGCCAGCCCUAGAAAGAGUAUUGGUGGUUCCAAACUUCUUCCAUUUUAGAAUGAUGGAGGCCACUGUAUUCUUGGGAUCUUAAAUGCUGCAGAAAUGUUUUGGUACCCUUCCCCAGAUCUGUGCCUCGACAAAAUCCUGUCUCGGAGCUCUACGGACAAUUCCUUUGACCUCAUGGCUCGGUUUUUGCUCUGACAUGCACUGUCAACUGUGGGACCUCAUAUAGACAGAUGUGAGCCUUUCCAAGUCAUGUCCAAUCAAUUGAAUUUACCACAGGUGGACUCCAAUCAAGUUGUAGAAACAUCUCAAGGAUGAUCAAUGGAAACAGGAUGCACCUGAGCUCAAUUUCGAAUCUCAUAGCAAAGGGUCUGAAUAC